UUCCGGUUGAUCCUGCCGGAGGUCACUGAAACGGGGUUCGAUUAAGCCAUGCGAGUCGAGAGGGUUCGGCCCUCGGCGUACUGCUCAGUAACACGUGGAUAACCUGCCCUAGGGAAGGGGAUAAUCCCGGGAAACUGGGGAUAAUACCCUAUAGGUUACAGAUGCUGGAAUGCUCUGUAAUCAAAAGUUCCGGCGCCCUAGGAUGGAUCUGCGGCCGAUUAGGUUGUUGUUGGGGUAAUGGCCCAACAAGCCAGUAAUCGGUACGGGUUGUGGGAGCAAGAGCCCGGAGUUGGAUUCUGAGACACGAAUCCAGGCCCUACGGGGCGCAGCAGGCGCGAAAACUUUACAAUGCGGGCAACCGUGAUAAGGGAACCUCGAGUGCCUGUAAAUGCAGGCUGUUCAGAUGCCUAAAACGCAUCUGGAGAAAGGGCCGGGCAAGACCGGUGCCAGCCGCCGCGGUAAUACCGGCGGCUCGAGUGGUGGCCACUUUUAUUGGGCUUAAAGCGUUCGUAGCUGGGUUGUUAAGUCUCUUGGGAAAUCUGGCGGCUUAACCGUCAGGCGUCUAAGGGAUACUGGCAAUCUUGGAACCGGGAGAGGUGAGGGGUACUUCGGGGGUAGGAGUGAAAUCCUGUAAUCCUCGAGGGACCACCUGUGGCGAAGGCGCCUCACCAGAACGGCUUCGACAGUGAGGGACGAAAGCUGGGGGAGCAAACCGGAUUAGAUACCCGGGUAGUCCCAGCCGUAAACUAUGCGCGUUAGGUGUAUCGGUGACCACGAGUUACCGAGGUGCCGAAGGGAAACCGUGAAACGUGCCGCCUGGGAAGUACGGUCGCAAGGCUGAAACUUAAAGGAAUUGGCGGGGGAGCACCACAACAGGUGGAGCCUGCGGUUUAAUUGGAUUCAACGCCGGG
rnacentral:rRNA from 1 species